rnacentral:rRNA from 3 species
CACAUGACUCUCGGCAACGGAUAUCUCGGCUCUCGCAUCGAUGAAGAACGUAGCGAAAUGCGAUACCUGGUGUGAAUUGCAGAAUCCCGCGAACCAUCGAGUCUUUGAACGCAAGUUGCGCCCGAGGCCUUUGGGCCGAGGGCACGCCUGCCUGGGCGUCACGC